rnacentral:rRNA from 1 species
GAUGAACGCUAGCUACAGGCUUAACACAUGCAAGUCGAGGGGAAACGACAUCGAAAGCUUGCUUUUGAUGGGCGUCGACCGGCGCACGGGUGAGUAACGCGUAUCCAACCUGCCCAUCACUUGGGAAUAACCUUGGGAAAGUAAGACUAAUACCCAAUGAUAUCCCACGAAGGCAUCGGAAUGGGAUUAAAGAUUUAUCGGUGAUGGAUGGGGAUGCGUCUGAUUAGCUUGUUGGCGGGGUAACGGCCCACCAAGGCAACGAUCAGUAGGGGUUCUGAGAGGAAGGUCCCCCACAUUGGAACUGAGACACGGUCCAAACUCCUACGGGAGGCAGCAGUGAGGAAUAUUGGUCAAUGGGCGAGAGCCUGAACCAGCCAAGUAGCGUGCAGGAAGACGGCCCUAUGGGUUGUAAACUGCUUUUAUAAGGGAAUAAAGUGGGUCACGUGUGACUUUUUGCAUGUACCUUAUGAAUAAGGACCGGCUAAUUCCGUG